UUUCCGUAGGUGAACCUGCGGAAGGAUCAUUACAGAGUACCGGUGCCUCGGGUACCUACUCCAACCCAUUGUCUACCAAUCCCUUGCUUCGGUGGGUCGGGCCUCGCCCGCCGGCUCCAGCUGGAGAGCACCCACCGAAGGACCGUUCAAACCAGCUUGUCUGUGCAGUCUGAGCGUGGAAUAAAUUGAAUUAAAAACUUUUAGCAACGGAUCUCUUGGUUCUGGCAUCGAUGAAGAACGCAGC
rnacentral:misc_RNA from 1 species